rnacentral:rRNA from 1 species
GAGUAAUACAUAAGUAACCUGCCCUAGACAGGGGGAUAACUUAUUGGAAACGAUAGCUAAGACCGCAUAGGUACGGACACUGCAUGGUGACCGUAUUAAAAGUGCCUCAAAGCACUGGUAGAGGAUGGACUUAUGGCGCAUUAGCUGGUUGGCGGGGUAACGGCCCACCAAGGCGACGAUGCGUAGCCGACCUGAGAGGGUGACCGGCCACACUGGGACUGAGACACGGCCCAGACUCCUACGGGAGGCAGCAUG